rnacentral:lncRNA from 1 species
CGAUGUCAUGGUCGUUCGCUCCAAUUGGUGGUUAUGUUUCGACUCGAUUGUCUUAUUGCUACUACAAUUUGAUAUUAAUUAGUAUUGUAAUUUUCACUGUUAAAAAUAAGCGUUAGAUAAGUUAGACAAAUCUAAUCUUGAAGUUCAUCUGAAUUCUUUCUUAAUUUUUGGGAACUCGUUUUUUAAUGUUAUGUAAUGUCAUUUUAAUGUUAUGAUUACUAUUGCCAUUACAGCGGGAGGCUUGGCAUGCCACAAAACCAGGUUCGACCCACCAUUUUUAUCUUUAAAUGCCCUGUACCAAGUCAGGGAAAUGGUCAUUGUUAUAUUAUAGUUCGGUUCUGUUGUGUCGUAGUUCUCUUAUAUUUGAUGCGUUUCCCUCAGAUUAGUUUGUAACUCGGAUUUGUUUUUUUCUCUAUCCAUUUAUGAAUUUCGAACAGCGGUAUACUACUGUUGCCUUUAUUUGACAUAUGAUGGAUUGGUCAUACACAGCAGGUCUAGUGUUGUGUCGUUUCUGGUGUUCUUGUUUACUACCUGUGUAAAUAUGUCAAGGAGUUGUUGGUGUAGUGAAGCAUCAUGUUUACAAGGUAUAACUGCUGGUGUAUUCCAGUCUAUGUGGCCAAGAUUGGAAUCGCCACUUACCCAGAUAUUUGGGUUCGUUUUUUUGCAUAAGACUCUAUUUAGUGAGAUAGCAAGUUGUUCUAGGGAUUCUCCUUUAUCGGAUGGUGGUCGAUAGGAGGAAACAAAGGUAGAG